GGGCCCGCACAAGCGGUGGAGCAUGUGGUUUAAUUCGAUGCAACGCGAAGAACCUUACCAGGCCUUGACAUCCUCGGAACUUUCUAGAGAUAGAUUGGUGCCUUCGGGAGCUCUGAGACAGGUGCUGCAUGGCUGUCGUCAGCUCGUGUUGUGAAAUGUUGGGUUAAGUCCCGCAACGAGCGCAACCCUUAUCCUUGUUUGCCAGCACAUAAUGGUGGGAACUCCAGGGAGACUGCCGGUGAUAAACCGGAGGAAGGUGGGGACGACGUCAAGUCAUCAUGGCCCUUACGAGUAGGGCUACACACGUGCUACAAUGGCAUAUACAGAGGGCAGCGAGACCGCGAGGUGGAGCG
rnacentral:rRNA from 1 species